AUUGAACGCUGGCGGCAUGCCUUACACAUGCAAGUCGAACGGUAGCAGGUCUUCGGAUGCUGACGAGUGGCGAACGGGUGAGUAAUACAUCGGAACGUGCCCGAUCGUGGGGGAUAACGGAGCGAAAGCUUUGCUAAUACCGCAUACGAUCUACGGAUGAAAGCAGGGGACCGCAAGGCCUUGCGCGGACGGAGCGGCCGAUGGCAGAUUAGGUAGUUGGUGGGAUAAAAGCUUACCCAGCCGACGAUAUGUAGCUGGUCUGAGAGGACGACCAUCCACAAUGGGACUGACACACGGCCCAGACUCCUACGGGAGGCAGCAGUGGGGAAUUUUGGACAAUGGGCGAAAGCCUGAUCCAGCCAGGCCGCGUGCAGGAUGAAGGCCUUCGGGUUGUAAACUGCUUUUGUACGGAACGAAAAGACUCUUUCUAAUAAAGAGGGUCCAUGACGGUACCGUAAGAAUAAGCACCGGCUAACUACGUGCCAGCCGCCGCAGUAA
rnacentral:rRNA from 1 species